rnacentral:rRNA from 1 species
AUGAUGGAGGUGGUGGCCGCCAUGGCGAUCCGGCCGCUGGUAUCCAUGUUGAUGAACAAGACGUCCAACUCCCUACUGGACCAGUACAAGGUGAUGGAGGGAAUGGAGGAGCAGCACAAGAUUCUCAAACGCAAGCUCCCGGCCAUCCUUGACGUCAUGACCGACGCCGAGAACCAGGCAAUGGAGCAUAGAGAUGGGGCUAAAGCCUGGCUCCAGGAGCUCAAGACAGUGGCCUAUGAGGCCAAUGAAGUCUUUGACGAAUUCAAGUAUGAAGCACUCCGCCGUGAAGCCAGGAAGAAAGGGCACUACAGCAAGCUUGGCUUCGAUGUAAUAAAACUCUUCCCUACUCACAAUCGUAUUGUGUUCCGUUACAAAAUGGGUCGCAAGCUUUGCCGGAUCCUGAAGGCCAUUGAUGUCCUCAUAGCAGAGAUGCAUGCCUUUAGGUUCAAGUAUCGACCACAACCGCCGGUGUCCAAGGAGUGGAGGCAGACAGAUUAUGUCAUCAUCGACCCACAAGAAAUUGCCAGUAGAUCCAGACACGAGGAUAAGAAGAAUAUUGUUGAUAUAUUACUUGGUGCAGCUAGCAAUGCAGAUCUUGCAGUAGUUCCCAUUGUUGGGAUGGGGGGGCUUGGCAAGACAACAUUAGCGCAACUCAUAUACAAUGAACCUAAUGUCCAAAAGCAUUUCCAGUUGCGGCUUUGGGUCUGUGUCUCUGAUGUCUUUGAUGUGAACUCCCUGGCCAAGAGUAUAGUUGAAGCAUCUCCCCGGAAAAAUGAAGACACGGACAAACCACCACUCGAAAGACUUCAAAAAUUGGUCCGUGGGCAGAGGUAUAUCAUUGUAUUGGAUGAUGUCUGGGACAACAAAGAGUUACGUAAGUGGGAAAGGCUGAAGGUUUGUCUCCAGCAUGGUGGCAUGGGUAGUGCAGUGUUGACAACAACUCGUGAUAAACGAGUUGCUGAAAUUAUGGGUGCAAACAGGGCAUCCUACAAUCUCAAUGUUUUGGAGGAUCGCUUCAUAAAGGAAAUUAUUGAGGCUAGAGCAUUCAGUUUAGAGAAAGAAAGGCCUGCUGAACUAGUCGAGAUGGUUGAUGAGAUUGUGGAGAGAUGCUCUGGAUCCCCUUUAGCUGCAACGGCACUGGGCUCUAUACUUCGUACCAAGACCACCGUGAAAGAAUGGAAGGCUAUAGCAUAUAGAAGCAGCAUUUGCACUGAGGAAACUGGAAUCAUGCCAAUACUAAAGCUUAGCUACAAUGACUUGCCAGCACACAUGAAGCAGUGCUUUGCUUUCUGUGCUGUGUUCCCCAAGGAUUACAAGAUCAAUGUGGAGAAGCUGAUCCAACUAUGGAUUGCCAAUGGCUUUAUCCUAGAACAGGAGGAAGGAAGUCUUGAAACCAUUGGAAAGCAUAUUUUCAAUGAGCUGGCCUCAAGGUCAUUCUUUCUGGACAUAGAGGAAUGUAAGGGCGACAGGGAGUAUUGUUCCAAAACUACAUGUAAAAUACAUGAUCUGAUGCAUGAUAUUGCAAUAUCUGUUAUGAGAAAGGAAUGUAUUGUUGCAAUUAAGGAACCAAGUCGAAUCGAGUUGCUUCAGGAUACUACUCGACAUUUAUUUUUGUCAUGUGAAGAAAUAGAAGGUAUUUUGAAUGAUUCUAUGGUGAAAAGAUCCCUUGCUAUCCGAACACUACUAUGUGAUAAUCCUGUUUGGAGCUCACUGCAACAUCUAUCAAAGUACAACUCUUUGCAUGCACUGAAGCUCUGUAUAAAGACAGAACCAUUUGUACUGAAACCAAAGUAUCUUCAUCACCUGAGGUACCUUGAUCUCUCAGAAAGUUAUAUCAAAGCACUUCCUGAAGAUAUGAGUAUUCUAUAUAACUUGCAGACAUUGGACCUAUCCAAAUGCAUUUAUCUUGAUCGACUUCCAAGGCAAAUGAAGUAUAUGACUUCCCUCCGUCACCUCUAUACUCAUGGAUGUCCGGAGUUGAAGAGCAUGCCCCCGGAACUAGGAAAACUCACAAACCUUCAGACAUUGACAUGUUUUGUAGCAGCAGUUAUUGGACCUGAUUGCAGUGAUGUAACAGAGCUGCAACAUUUAAACCUUGGCGGUCAGCUAGAGCUAUGUCGGAUAGAGAAUGUUACGGAAGCAGAGCCAAAAGUGGCAAAUCUUGGAAACAAGAAGGAGCUUAGUGAACUAACAUUAAGAUGGACUUUUGUUUGCGAUAGCAAGGUGCUCGACAAUUUCGAACCUCAUGAUGGGAUGCAGGUUCUGAAGAUAUAUUACUAUGGUGGAGAGUGCAUUGGUAUGAUGCAAAACAUGGUUGAGAUACAUCUUUCUCACUGUGAAAGAUUGCAAUUUUUGUUUAGACGUGCUGCAUCCUUCACUUUUCCAAAACUGAAGGUGCUUACGCUAGAACAUCUGUUGAAGUUUGAGAGAUGGUGGGAAAUAAAUGCGAGGCAAGAUCAGAUAGGAUUUCCUCUGCUUGAGAAGUUGUUUAUUAAGUAUUGUGGAAUGCUGACACAAUUGCCGAAAGCACCACUGCUUCGAAAACCGUGUGGUGGAGGUUAUAGAUUGGUGUGCUCACCGUUUCCUGCCCUAAAGGUACUAGAAUUGGAAGACUUGAAGAGCUUCCAGAGAUGGGAUGUUGCUGUUGAAGGAGGACUGAUCUUGUUUACUCAGCUUGAGAAACUGUCAAUUAAGAACUGCCCAAAGCUAAUGGAUUUACCUCGAGCACCAUUGCUUCAAGAACUCGAAUUGAAAUACUUGGUGAGCUUUCAGAGAUGGGAUGCUGUAGUUGAAGAAGAACAAAUAUUGUUUCCACUUCUGGCGAAGCUAUCAAUUCAGAAAUGCCCAAGGCUGAUAGAUUUACCUGAAGCACCAAAACUCAGUUCAUUAGAAAUUGAAGAUGGCAAGCAAGAGAUCUUCCAUUUUGUAGGUAGAUAUUUGUCUUCACUGACCAAACUGAUACUGAAGCUGGAAAAUACAGAAACAACAUCAGAGGUUGAGUGCAUUUCAAUUGUACCGAUGCACAACAAGGAGAAAUGGAACCAGAAAUCCCCACUUACAGUUAUGAAGUUAAGAUGCUGCAACCCAUUCUUUGGAGCAGCUGCACCAGUGCCAUGGUAUUAUUUUGGACAUCUUGAAGCGUUGGCAAUUGAUAGCUGUGAUGUGCUCGUCCACUGGCCAGACAAAGUAUUCCAAAGCUUGGUAGCCUUGAGGAGAUUAUCGAUUAGAAACUGCAAGAAUCUGACUGGAUGCGCACAAGCUCCUCCUGACCCAUCAACAACCGAAAGGAGCCAACACCUUCCUGGUCUGGAGUCUAUUGAGUUAAUUAUUUGUGCAAGUUUGAUAGAUAUGUUCAACGUCCCAGCAUCUCUCAAGGAAAUGCAUAUUUUUGGUUGCCAUGAGCUCAAGUCCAUAUUCGGCAAGCAGCAGGGCAUGUCACGGUUAGUUCAAGGGCUAUCUUGCAGCGAGGUAACCGUGCCCACGGUUGUAUCAGAGUUGUCAUCAUCAUCCAUGAAUCACUUCUUUCCAUGCCUAGAAUAUCUACAGUUAUCUGGAUGUGAUAGUUUAUCAGCGGUUCUAGAUCUUCCACCAGCAUUAAAGACCAUAUCUAUUGGUGGCUGCAGGAAUAUUCAAGUCCUAUCAUGUCAGCUGAAUGGGCUUCAGAAACAACAAGUCACUACUUCCAUAAAUAUACCAGAGCCAGCAGCAGCAAGAGAGCAUUCCCUUCCUCCUUGUCUCGAGUCUCUACACAUAUCCUGUUUGAGUGGCAUGUUUGGGGGGAUUCUCCAUCUGCCGAAUUCCCUCAAGACACUGAAAAUUUCUGGCAGUAGUUUGACAUCAUUGGAGUUUCUGUCGGGAGAGCACCCCACUGCGUUGGAAUCCCUUGUAAUUGAUAGCUGCAGUACCCUGGCAUCCCUACCGAAUGAUGCGCAGGCAUACAGGUCACUUCAACGGCUUGAAAUUACAUGUUGUCCUGCUAUAAAGAAGCUUCCUACAUGCCUGCAACAGCAACUGGGUAGCAUUGGCUUCUACAAACGGCUGGAUGCCCAUUAUGAAGUAACGGCAUUUAAACCAAAGACUUGGAAGGAAAUACCAAGACUAGUCCAUGAGCAGAGGCAGGCUCGUCACAGUUGA